rnacentral:tRNA from 1 species
GCGGAGGUGGAGCAAUGGUAGCUCACUAGACUCAUAAUCUAGAGACGAGGUUCGAAUCCUACGUCCGCA